GCCGAAAGGCAGCCAGUUCAGGCCAGUUCACUAUAGCUGUAGUACUCAGUCUGUCCCACUGAGCUGUCAACACACAGCAACCAUCCACUCUGCUUGUCUGUUUCGACAACAUUUUUCUAUUAAAUUUAGUCCCUUUUUCUUCAACGACGUUUUCCUUCAGAUAACAGCUACUCUCGUCUCAUUAUGACUCGAAGGUGAUCUUCAGAGUGACCAGGUGGUUCUGGGGUUCCAGGUUGGUGUGGUGAGAGAGCAAGCUAAUUGCAGGGAGGAGGACCGCCUGGGGCAUCGUGUUCCUGGCUCUCAAGUGACUAAGGGAGGGGCUUGGCUAACUGUUCUGCAGCAUGGAGAAGGAAGACCUGAAAGUCCUCAACAAAGGGGAAGAGGAGGAAAUGGAGCUGCAGGGCUACCGUCUGUGUCGUUGGCGGCUGGCCCUGGUUGGCCUUGGGGUGCUGUGUACAGGGGGCUUCCUCCUUCUGCUGCUCUACUGGAUGCCAGAGUGGUGCGUCAAAUCCACCUGCACUCGUACCACAGCCCGUGAUGCCGAAGUGGUAUUGCUGCGCUCCACGGAUGAGUUCCGGCGCUGGUUCCUGGCCAGGGUACGAGUUAUGCUGGCCCCGGGGAGCAACCCCUUCCACAGCCUGGAGACCCAGACCACCUCCCCCUCCUCCCCUUCAUCUCCCACCUGCCACUUCUCCUCCCCUGCUCAGGCCAACGGACACACCCUUCACCCCUCCGAUGGCAGCCCUGCUCAGGAGCUCAUCAGAAGAUAUGCCGACUACCAGCCCACACAGAUUCGGUAUUUUACCUUCCAUAGCACAAAGUAUUAUUGGAACGACCAGCUGCAGAACUUUGAAGUUUUAACAGGUGUGGAGGAUCUGCAGGUCAGCUGCUCCACCCUCCACUCGGAGCACAGUGCGGGCCUGACCAGGAACCAGCAGGAGUACAGGAGACUCUUCUUUGGAGUGAAUGAAAUUGCAGUGAAAGUGCCUUCUGUUUUCAAGCUGCUUAUCAAAGAGGUCCUCAACCCUUUUUACAUCUUCCAGCUCUUCAGUGUGAUCCUGUGGAGUGCCGAUGAGUAUUACUACUAUGCUGUGGCCAUUGUUAUCAUGUCAGUCAUAUCCAUAGCUACCUCUCUAUACACCAUCAAAAAGCAAUACGUCAUGCUUCACGAUAUGGUGGCGGCUCACAGUAUUGUCCGUGUGUCUGUAUGCCGAGCCAACAAUGAAAUCGAAGAGAUUUUGUCUACUGAUCUGGUGCCUGGUGAUCUGAUGGUCAUCCCCAGCAAUGGGACCAUCAUGCCAUGUGACGCCGUGCUGGUCAGCGGCACCUGCAUCGUCAAUGAAAGCAUGCUCACAGGUGAGAGCGUUCCUGUUACAAAGACCAACCUCCCAAACCCAUUGCCAGGGGAGAGGGGGAAUGAGGCUGAUGGUGCGUACACCAUAGAGGGACAUAAGAGACACACUCUCUUCUGUGGCACUCACGUCAUCCAAACCCGCUUCUAUACAGGCGAACUGGUCAAGGCUGUGGUGGUCCGCACAGGUUUCAGCACAGCCAAAGGCCAGCUGGUGCGUUCUAUCCUUUACCCAAAGCCCACCGACUUCAAACUGUACCGUGAUGCCUACCUCUUCCUGCUGUGUCUAGUGGCUGUUGCUGGAAUUGGCUUUGUCUACUCCAUCGUCCUCAGCAUCUUGAACAAGGUGCCAGCUAAAACCAUCAUCAUCGAGUCCCUGGACAUCAUCACCAUCACUGUGCCACCGGCUCUGCCAGCUGCCAUGACAGCUGGCAUUGUGUACGCCCAGCGACGCCUCAAACGCAUUGGAAUUUUCUGCAUCAGCCCACAGAGGAUCAAUAUCUGCGGACAAAUAAAUCUGGUCUGCUUUGACAAGACUGGAACACUAACAGAAGAUGGAUUAGACUUAUGGGGAGUCCAGAGGGUUGAGAAUGGCAGUUUUCACCUGUCAGAGGAAAAUGCCUACAAGGAAAAUCUUGUCAAGUCACAGUUUGUGGCCUGUAUGGCCACCUGCCACUCUCUUACUAAAAUAGAUGGCCAGCUGUCUGGAGACCCGCUGGACCUUAAAAUGUUUGACGCUACAGGCUGGAUCCUGGAGGAAGCCACUGAAGAGGAAACAUCUCUCCACAACCGUAUCAUGCCCACUGUGGUUCGACCCCCAAAACAGCUGUUGCCUCCUGAGCCUGCCACAUCACCGGAGCAGGACAUGGAAUUGUAUGAACUCCCGUCAGCGUAUGAAAUAGGCAUCGUGCGCCAGUUUCCGUUUUCGUCAGCACUCCAGAGAAUGAGUGUGGUGGCUCGUCUGCUGGGGGAGAAACGUAUGGAUGCCUACACGAAGGGAGCGCCGGAGGUUGUGGCAAGUCUCUGCAAGAAAGAGACAGUGCCAGAAGACUUUGCCGAGGUUUUGGAGGGCUACACCAAGCAGGGUUUCAGAGUCAUAGCUCUGGCUCAUCGCCGACUUGAAUCCAAACUCACCUGGCACAAAGUACAGAAUGUGAACAGGGAUCACAUAGAGACAAACAUGGAGUUUCUGGGUCUGAUCAUCAUGCAGAACAAGCUGAAGGCAGAAACCCCAGGGGUUCUGCAGGACCUCCACAGAGCACACAUCCGCACUGUUAUGGUUACAGGUGACAACAUGCUGACAGCCAUCUCUGUGGCCAGGGACUGUGGAAUGAUCCCACCUCAAGACAAAGUCAUCAUUGCUGAUGCCCUUCCUCCCCAUAAUGGACAAGCCGCCAAGAUCACCUGGAGAUACGCUGACAAGCCGAGCAAGACACCUCGCCUGGAGGAAGUGAAUAUCAGUCUGGAGGAUGUGUGUGAUGUAGACGAGCAAAAAACACAAGAGCUGUUCCACUUUGCAAUGAAUGGCAAAUCAUUCGCUGUCAUCGAGGAGCAUUUCCCUGACAUGCUUCAAAAGCUCGUUCUCCAUGGAACGGUGUUUGCCAGAAUGGCCCCUGACCAGAAAACGCAGCUCAUUGAGGCACUGCAGGGCGUAGACUACUUUGUGGGGAUGUGUGGAGAUGGAGCAAACGACUGUGGGGCUCUGAAGAGGGCCCAUGGCGGCAUCUCUCUGUCAGAGCUCGAGGCCUCAGUAGCCUCACCCUUCACCUCCAGGACUCCCAACAUCUCUUGCGUCCCCAGCCUCAUAAGGGAGGGGCGUGCUGCUCUCAUCACCUCCUUCUGUGUGUUCAAGUUCAUGGCCCUCUACAGCAUCAUCCAGUACAUCAGUGUCACUCUCCUCUACUCUAUCCUCAGUAACCUUGGAGACUUCCAGUUCCUCUUCAUCGACAUUGCUAUCAUCCUCCUUAUUGUCUUUACUAUGAGUCUGAACCCAGCGUGGAAAGAGCUCGUGUCACGUCGUCCCCCAUCAGGUCUGAUCUCAGGGCCUCUGCUGUUCUCUGUGCUGACCCAGAUCCUCAUCUGCUUGGGCUUCCAAACCAUUACAUUCCUCUGGGUCCGACAGCAGCCCUGGUACACAGUCUGGACACCAUUUACAGAUGUCUGCAACCAGUCUUCACACAUCAAUGUGUCUGACCACAACGACACAGAGCUGGAUGACCACAACAUCCAAAACUUUGAGAACACCAGCCUCUUCUAUGUCUCCUGCUUCCAGUACCUUAUUGUUGCCAUCGUUUUCUCAAAAGGCAAACCUUUCAGGCAGCCUAGCUACAAGAAUUGGCCUUUUGUGCUGUCUGCCGUGAGUUUGUAUGUUUUCCUGCUGUUCAUUAUGUUCCACCCUGUUGAAAGCAUUGACAUGUUUUUGGAGAUUGUUUGCGUCCCUUAUGAGUGGAGGGUAAAACUCUUCCUCAUUAUCUUAAUCAAUGCUGCUGUGUCUGUUGUGGUGGAGAUGGACAGCAGUGUUGUGUUGUGAGAAGAAAUUACCUUCAGUAGUGAAAAUUGUAAAAUGACGGUGUCUGUGCUACAACACUCAACAUGUUUUUUGUGCACCAUUUUUUAGUGAAAUGUAUGCAUUUUGACAUUACUUAUAGCAGCAUAUGUUUGUCUUUUUGGAUAGACAGAUGGUCUUUAAGGAAUUAAUUUACUUUAGUCCAACUGACAAUGGAUAAUUCGUGCUGGCCUGCCACCCUCAGUGGAGCAGUAUCACUAUGGCUGCUAUGCUUUUUAGAUAGCUUGCAGACAUGCCCUGCUUAGGAGACACUUUAGAUGAUGCUCUUUCCCAAACUAUCAGUCCAAAUCCUCUUCACCUUUUUAAGUGAAUUAAAAAAAAAAUCAAUCAAGUUGACUUUGCACUCAGAGUUUCCAGUAUUUUGAGAUGAUAGUAUCCAUGCACUCUCUUCUUACUAAUUGGUUUAGUUUAAUUUUAACCUCGCACGCAUUAACACACAGCUUAAUGGAACAAAGCUUUGAUAAGUUGUGGCUCUGCAAAAACAAUUGAAGACCUCUGUGGAAAAAACAAUAGCAGACGCUAUGUGAAAUCAAAUUAGCCUCUCUGUAAUUCUUUCCCCUGCCCACUGCGCUAUUCCAUAGACCUUCAUCCAUGACAUCAUCUUAUGGAAGCUUGUGUUCAGCCGAGACAAACAAGGCAGCUUUGGCGUCACUCCUGCUGCCCCGACACCACAGGGUGGCAUUGACCGCGGGGCGUUCAAGUGUCUGUCCUGGCUGGGCUGCCCACGCAA